UGCUUUACACAUUGCAAGUCGUACGAGAGUUUUUAACUCAAGUGGCGGACGGGUGAGUAACACGUAAGAACUUGCCUUUAGGAGGGGGAAUAACAACUGGAAACGGUUGCUAAUACCCCAUAUGCUUUCGAGUGAAAUGGAUUUUCCGCCUAGAGAGAAGCUUGCGGCUGAUUAGCUUGUUGGUAAGGUAAUGGCUUACCAAGGCGACGAUCAGUAUCUGGUUUGAGAGGAUGAUCAGACACACUGGAACUGAGACACGGUCCAGACUCCUACGGGAGGCAGCAGUGGGGAAUUUUCCGCAAUGGGCGAAAGCCUGACGGAGCAAUACCGCGUGAGGGAUGACGGCCUAUGGGUUGUAAACCUCUUUUUUCAGGGAGGAAGAAAAUGACGUGUACCUGAAGAAUAAGCAUCGGCUAACUCCGUGCCAGCAGCCGCGGUAAGACGGAGGAUGCAAGUGUUAUCCGGAAUCACUGGGCGUAAAGCGUCUGUAGGUGGUCGAAUAAGUCAACUGUUAAAUCUUGAGGCUCAACCUCAAAAUCGCAGUCGAAACUAUUUGACUAGAGUAUAGU
rnacentral:rRNA from 1 species